rnacentral:rRNA from 1 species
AGGACGAACGCUGGCGGCGUGCUUAACACAUGCAAGUCGAGCGGAAAGGCCCUUCGGGGUACUCGAGCGGCGAACGGGUGAGUAACACGUGAGUAACCUGCCCCUAGCUCUGGGAUAGCUCCGGGAAACCGGGAUUAAUACCAGAUACGACCACUUUAGACAUCUGUCGUGGUGGAAAGGAUUCCGGCUAGGGAUGGGCUCGCGGCCUAUCAGCUUGUUGGUGAGGUAACGGCCUACCAAGGCGACGACGGGUAGCCGGCCUGAGAGGGCGACCGGCCACACUGGGACUGAGACACGGCCCAGACUCCUACGGGAGGCAGCAGUGGGGAAUAUUGCGCAAUGGGCGAAAGCCUGACGCAGCGACGCCGCGUGGGGGAUGAAGGCCUUCGGGUUGUAAACCCUUUCAGCAGGGACGAAGCGAAAGUGACGGUACCUGCAGAAGAAGCGCCGGCUAACUACGUGCCAGCAGCCGC